GUUUGCAUUCAAAAGCUAAAUGGGUCUGGUUAAUAUCUGGAUUGGGAACCACCUGGAAACAUCAGAGUUGCAGACU
rnacentral:rRNA from 1 species